GGGGGCCGGACUUUCCCGUGCUGUUCUCCUGAUGGUGAAUAAGUCUCACGAAAUUGACGGGUUUAUCAGGGGUUUCCACUUUUGUUUCUUCCUUAUUUUUCCCUUGCCACCGCCAUGUAAGAAGUGCCUUUCGCCUCCCGCCAUGAUUCUGAGGCCUCCCUAGCCAUGUGGAACUAGAGUAAAAUGUUCCUGGCCUGGAGGAACGGUGCUGGCGUGGGGAAGAGCAAGUUGGAGAAGCUGAACUUCCCGAGUGGAAAACGCACACCUGGUGAUGUGCAGGGUGGAUUCGGAGGGCGUCAGGAAUACACCUCCUUUGACUUUUAAUGGUCUUAUUUUCAUUGUAUUUAUUUUUAUGGUUACCUUCUACAUAAGGCAAAUAACUUUUUCUUUUUUUGAGACAGAGUCUCGCUCUGUUGCCCAGGCUGGAGUGCAAUGGCACGAUCUCGGCUCGCUGCAACCUCUGCCUCCCGGGUUUGAGCAAUUCUCCUGCCUCAGCCUCCCAAGCAAGCAACUGGGAUUACAGGCACCCGCCACCAUGCCCAGCUAAUUUUUUUGUAUUUCAGUAGAGACGGGGUUUCACCGUGUUCCCCAGGCUGGUCUAGAACCUCUGAGCUCAGGCAAUCCACCCACCUUGGCCUCCCAAAGUGCUAGGAUUACAGAUGUGAGCCACUGCCUUGUUUUGUUUUUACAAGUGGGUGUUAAAUAGUUGUGUUUAAAUAAAAAUACUUCAGGAAGUGUCAA